GGCGAGUGGCGAACGGGUGAGUAGAAUAUCGGAACGUGCCUAGUAGAGGGGGACAACGCAGCGAAAGUUGCGCUAAUACCGCAUACUAUCUACGGAAGAAAGUGGGGGACCUGAAAGGGCCUCACGCUAUUAGAGCGGCCGAUAACUGAUUAGCUAGUUGGGGAGGUAAAGGCUUCCCAAGGCGACGAUCAGUAGCUGGUCUGAGAGGACGACCAGCCACACUGGAACUGAGACACGGUCCAGACUCCUACGGGAGGCAGCAGUGGGGAAUUUUGGACAAUGGGCGCAAGCCUGAUCCAGCAAUGCCGCGUGAGUGAAGAAGGCCUUCGGGUUGUAAAGCUCUUUUGUCAGGGAAGAAACGGAUUGUCCUAAUAGGGCGAUUUAAUGACGGUACCUGAAGAAUAAGCACCGGCUAACUACGUGCCAGCAGCCGCGGUAAUACGUAGGGUGCAAGCGUUAAUCGGAAUUACUGGGCGUAAAGCGUGCGCAGGCGGUUAUAUAAGUCAGAUGUGAAAUCCCCGGGCUCAACCUGGGAAUGGCAUUUGAGACUGUAUAGCUAGAGUGUGUCAGAGGGGGGUAGAAUUCCACGUGUAGCAGUGAAAUGCGUAGAGAUGUGGAGGAACACCGAUGGCGAAGGCAGCCCCCUGGGAUAACACUGACGCUCAUGCACGAAAGCGUGGGGAGCAAACAGGAUUAGAUACCCUGGUAGUCCACGCCCUAAACGAUGUCGACUAGUUGUUGGGAUUUAAUAAUCUUAGUAACGCAGCUAACGCGAGAAGUCGACCGCCUGGGGAGUACGGUCGCAAGAUUAAAACUCAAAGGAAUUGACGGGGACCCGCACAAGCGGUGGAUGAUGUGGAUUAAUUCGAUGCAACGCGAAAAACCUUACCUACCCUUGACAUGGUGCGAAUUCUGCAGAGAUGUAGAAGUGCUCGCAAGAGAACGCACACACAGGUGCUGCAUGGCUGUCGUCAGCUCGUGUCGUGGGAUGUUGGGUUAAGUCCCGCAACGAGCGCAACCCUUGUCAUUAAUUGCCAUCAUUAAGUUGGGCACUUUAAUGAGACUGCCGGUGACAAACCGGAGGAAGGUGGGGAUGACGUCAAGUCCUCAUGGCCCUUAUGGGUAGGGCUUCACACGUCAUACAAUGGUACAUACAGAGGGAAGCCAAGCUGCGAAGCGGAGCCAAUCCCAGAAAGUGUAUCGUAGUCCGGAUUGGAGUCUGCAACUCGACUCCAUGAAGUUGGAAUCGCUAGUAAUCGCGGAUCAGCAUGUCGCGGUGAAUACGUUCCCGGGUUUUGNACACACCGCCCGUCACACCAUGGGAGCGGGUUUCACCAGAAGUAGGUAGCUUAAC
rnacentral:rRNA from 1 species